GAUGAACGCUGGCGGCGUGCCUAAUACAUGCAAGUCGAGCGAAGCGGGGACGGGUGAGUAACACGUGUAUAACCUCCUCUUAGACUGGGAUACCAUCGGGAAACAGGAGUUAAAUCGGAUAUUUAUACAUGGAUCCGCGCUGCAUUAGCUAGUUGGUAAGGUAACGGCUUCGCAAGGCAACGAUGCAUAGCCGACCUGAGAGGGUGAUCGGCCAAACGGGAACUGAGACACGGUCCAGACUCCUACGGGAGGAAGAAGUAGGGAAUCUUCCGCAAUGGGCGAAAGCCUGACAGAGCAACGCCGCGUGAGGGAUGAAGGUCUUCGGAUCUUAAAACUCUGUUAUUAGGGAAGCGGUACCUAAUCAGAAAGCCACGGCUAACUACGUGCCAGCAGCCGCGGUAAUUC
rnacentral:rRNA from 1 species